AUUGAACGCUGGCGGCAGGCCUAACACAUGCAAGUCGAACGAGUGGCGGACGGGAGAGUAAUGUCUGGGAAUCCGCCUGAUGGGGGGGUAUCACUACUGGAAAGGGUAGCUAAUACCGCAUACUCUCAGAUGAGCCUAGAUGGGAUUAGCUUGUUGGUGGGGUAACGGCUCACCAAGGCGACGACCCCUCGCUGGUCUGAGAGGAUGACCAGCCACACUGGGACUGAGACACGGUCCAGACUCCUACGGUAGGCAGCAGUGGGGAAUAUUGCACAAUGGGCGCAAGCCUGAUGCAGCCAUGCCGCGUGUAUGAAGAAGGCCGUCGGGUUGUAAAGUACUUUCAGCGGGGAGGCGUUACCCGCAGAAGAAGCACCGGCUAACUCCGUGCCAGCAGCCGCGGUAAUUC
rnacentral:rRNA from 1 species